rnacentral:rRNA from 1 species
CCUACGGGUGGCAGCAGUAGGGAAUAUUGCUCAAUGGGGGAAACCCUGAAGCAGCAAAGCCGCGUGGAGGAUGACGGUUUUCGGAUUGUAAACUCCUUUUGUUAGAGAAGAUAAUGACGGUAUCUAACGAAUAAGCAACGGCUAAAUCCGUGCAAGCAGCAGCGGUAAUACGGCGGGUGCAAGCGUUACUCGGAACCACUGGGCGUAAAGAGCGCGUAGGCGGGAUAGCAAGUCAGAUGUGAAAUCCUAUGGCUUAACCAUAGAACUGCAUUUGAAACUGUUAUUCUAGAGUAUGGGAGAGGGAGGUGGAAGUCUUUGUAUAGGGGUAAAAUCCGUAGAGAUCAAGAGGAAUACUCAUUGCGAAGGCGACCUGCUAGAACAUAACUGACGCUGAUGCGCGAAAGCGUGGGGAGCAAACAGGAUUAGAUACCCCUGUAGUC